UUUUUACUCCAUAAAAAUUUACAAAAAGUGUAAUAAAAUUUUACAAAUUGAGGUCUCCUAAAGAGGUUAACUUUAAGUUAGGGCAAAACUUCACUAACCCACUAUUAAAAUAGCAAGGAUUUCUCUUGUUCCCUUUUUUCUACUACUCUCAUCUCAAGAGUCUUGGGUCCGCAGCGGUGGGGGGUUUCUUUUCACCUCCAAUCAAGCCUGCAACUGCGGCUAGGGCGAGGAUUUUUCUCUCCUCUGAACGUGAAUGCGGCGGCGAUGUAUGUGGUGAUGAUGGAAGGAAGGGCUUCCCUGUGAAUGAUAGUGCUUGUGGCCAAGGUGGUUCAGAUCCGGAUUUCAUCGAUCUGGAGUGUGUGACAGCGAUAGAUGUCAAUGUUCUUGGUGAUCGGGGCUAGAUGGCAGGGUCCGUAGGUGGAGAUCAUGGUUGGAGGUCGGGCUUGCAGCAUGGCCGGCUUCAACGCUUGGUGACUAUAGGGCUACCGAGAUUAAGACAGGGUGGCGCGUUGGGCUACGAAUGUCUCGGCUGCGGCUGGACCUUCUGACGGCGUCCUUAUGGUUUGGUGGCAAUAUGGCAGAAUAGACUACUGGAAUGGUUGGUUGAUCUCUCUGGCGACUGGGGCAGCAAGACUGGCGGUGCGACAGCUACAGAAGAAGGGCAAGGCUGCUGGAUGCCUAUUAGGCAUAUUGGUUUAGGGUUUCUUCUGGAGCUGUAGCGUGGUGAUGAUGGAUUGGAUCCUAAUGGGCCGAUUUUGGAUCAUAUGCUUUAGUUUUAUUUCUCAUUUUCUCCUCUUUUGGGGGAGAAAUUUGUAGGCCUUAAGGUUUUAGGAAUGUCGCCAGGGGUAUCCGCAAAGCCUACGCUAUUUAUUUCCUUCAUAGAUAAUGGCUAUAUCUGACAGCCCGACACGAGCGGGUCAUUAUGUGUAAUUU
rnacentral:lncRNA from 1 species